CUUCUCCUCCCCCUCCCCCUCCCCCUCCGCCCUCCUCGUGCCCCGCCGGAGACAUCCGAGGGUUAGGGUUAGGGUUAGGGUUUGGUGUGGGGGAGAGCGUGGUCGGAAUGAAGAGUAAGAAGAAGAAGAGGAGGAGGAGGGGGUUUUUGAGGGAGGAGGGGACGGUCGCGAGGGUUUUUUGGAAGCGCGGGGUAACAGCGAGGAUGAGUGCGAAAUUGGAGAAGAAACAGCGGGGAUCAAUUCAUCAUCAUCAGAGCGGAUGCUAAUUUUGGCUGGUGAUUGGAAGAAUCUUCGCUUCCUUUUGUUACAGAGUAAUUUUUGCAGGUAUUUUAAGAGCACUGCGUGCAUAUAUUAGCAACACGCCAACAUCCUCUUUUGCUUCGUCUGUAAUUGAUUUUCCACUCCGGUAAGUAGUAAUUGAUUUUCCACUUCAGUAAGUAAUUGAUUUUCCACUCCUCCAAACAAGUAAGAUUUUCCACAGUAAUUGAUUUUCCACUCCUCCAAACAAGUAAGAUUUUCCACUCCUCCAAACAAUUUACUUGCAUGCGCAUCAACACGAGAGAGAAAUGUGCAGCUAAUGCAAGGCAAAAUCGAGCAGUGCAUUUAGUUGAAAAUAUAAAAUAAUUAGACUUCAAAUUUAAAACUCCUAAUGCGGAUUAUCAAAAUUUUUGCCAUCUGUGCAAGAAACAGUUUGUAGGUUGUUUCCAGAAUAUUGUCCUUGUAACAAGGGUGGAUUCAGUUCGGGCUUAAACGAGGCUCGGAGGGCCAGGCUUUGUUCAUGUUGGGUUUGGAUAGUCCAAAUAGAAUUUUGGCCUAUGACCAGGUGCCAACUACCAAAUCCUUUGCCACUUGCUUUAGGGACGAUCGGUCUGUCUUACAUAUGUUAAAUGCAAGCAGUGCAGGAAACAGUUGUGGGGUACAGAACAGAAACAGUUAAUUUUGUUGGCUAUUUUAGGAUGAUGCAAGGUGGCCGCAAGGUGGCCUUAUUUUUCUUUUGUAAUAUUCAACGACUGCAUUUAAUCAAUAUGAUAGGUAUAAAAUUUACAUCUUUGUCUUCUUGUAAAUUGAGAAAAUACUAUCUGUGUAAGUUACAUCAUA